AUGGUCAACCCCACCGUGUUCUUCAACAUCGCUAUGGAUGGCAAGCCCUUGGGCCGCAUCUCCUUGGAGCUGUUUGCAGACAAAUUUCCAAAGACAGAAGAGAACUUCCAUGCUCUGAGCACUGAGGAGAAAGGAUUUGGUUAUAAAGGUUCCCGUUUUCACAGAAUAAUUCCGGGAUUUAUGUGCCAGGGUGGUGACUUCAGAUGCCAUAAUGGCACUGGUGGCAAGUCCAUCUAUGGGGAGAAAUUUGAUGAUGAGAAUUUCCUCCUGAAGCAUACGAGUCCUGGCAUCUUGUCCAUGGCAAAUGCUGGCCCCAACACAAAUGGUUCCCAGUUUUUCAUCUGCACUGCCAAGACUGAGUGGUUGGAUGGCAAGCAUGUGGUCUUUGGCAAGGUAAAGGAGCACAUGAAUAUUGUGGAAGCCAUGGAGUGCUCUGGGUCCAGAAAUUGCAAGACCAGCAAGAAGAUCACCAUUGCUGACUGUGGACAAAUCUAAUAAAUUUGACUUGUGUUUUAUCUUAACCACCAGACCAUUCCUUCUGUAGCUCAGGAGAGCACCCCUUCAACCUCAUCUGCUCAAAAUAUCCUAUAA